rnacentral:rRNA from 1 species
CAAUAGCGUAUAUUAAUGUUGUUGCAGUUAAAAAGCUCGUAGUUGGAUUUCUGGUGGGAGCGGCCGGUCCGCCGUAAGGUGUGUACUUGGUUGUCUCCUGUCAUCCUUGUGGGAACUGCUCUGGCAUUAAGUUGUCGGGGUUAGGGAACACAUCGUUUACUGUGAAAAAAUUAGAGUGUUUAAAGCAGGCUUAUGCCGUUGAAUACAUUAGCAUGGAAUAAUAAGAUAGGACUUUGGCGUCUAUUUUGUUGGUUUGCACACCAAGGUAAUGAUUAAUAGGGAUAGUUGGGGGUAUUCGUAUUUAAUUGUCAGAGGUGAAAUUCUUGGAUUUAUGAAAGACGAACUUCUGCGAAAGCAUAUACCAAAGAUGUUUUCAUUAA